rnacentral:rRNA from 1 species
AGUGAACGCUGGCGGUAGGCCUAACACAUGCAAGUCGAACGGCAGCACAGUAAGAGCUUGCUCUUACGGGUGGCGAGUGGCGGACGGGUGAGGAAUACAUCGGAAUCUACUUUUUCGUGGGGGAUAACGUAGGGAAACUUACGCUAAUACCGCAUACGACCUACGGGUAAAGCAGGGGAUCUUCGGACCUUGCGCGAUUGAAUGAGCCGAUGUCGGAUUAGCUAGUUGGCGGGGUAAAGGCCCACCAAGGCGACGAUCCGUAGCUGGUCUGAGAGGAUGAUCAGCCACACUGGAACUGAGACACGGUCCAGACUCCUACGGGAGGCAGCAGUGGGGAAUAUUGGACAAUGGGCGCAAGCCUGAUCCAGCCAUACCGCGUGGGUGAAGAAGGCCUUCGGGUUGUAAAGCCCUUUUGUUGGGAAAGAAAAGCAGCAGGUUAAUACCCCGCUGUUCUGACGGUACCCAAAGAAUAAGCACCGGCUAACUUCGUG